AGCGAACGCUGGCGGCAGGCCUAACACAUGCAAGUCGAACGAACCUUUCGGGGUUAGUGGCGGACGGGUGAGUAACACGUGGGAACGUGCCUUUAGGUUCGGAAUAACUCAGGGAAACUUGUGCUAAUACCGAAUGUGCCCUUCGGGGGAAAGAUUAAUCGCCUUUAGAGCGGCCCGCGUCUGAUUAGCUAGUUGGUUGAGGUAAUGGCUCACCAAGGCGACGAUCAGUAGCUGGUCUGAGAGGAUGAUCAGCCACAUUGGGACUGAGACACGGCCCAAACUCCUACGGGAGGCAGCAGUGGGGAAUCUUGCGCAAUGGGCGAAAGCCUGACGCAGCCAUGCCGCGGGAAUGAUGAAGGUCGUAGGAUUGUAAAAUUCUUUAACCGGGGACGAUAAGGACGGUACCCGGAGAAGAAGCCCCGGCUAACUUCGU
rnacentral:rRNA from 1 species